rnacentral:rRNA from 1 species
CCUACGGGUGGCAGCAGUGAGGAAUAUUGGUCAAUGGGCGCGAGCCUGAACCAGCCAAGUAGCGUGAAGGAUGACUGCCCUACGGGUUGUAAACUUCUUUUAUAAAGGAAUAAAGUGAGGCACGUGUGCCUUUUUGUAUGUACUUUAUGAAUAAGGAUUGGCUAAACACGUGACAGGAGCCGCGGUAAUACGGAGGAGCCUAGCAUUAGCCGGAUUUAUUGGGUUUAAAGGGAGAGUAGCACGGGUGUUAUGUAUGUUGUGAAAGUUUGCGGCUCAACCGUAUAAUUGCAAUUUAUACUUGCAGUUUUGAGUACAUUUGUGGUAGGCGGAAUUCGUGGUGUAGCGGUGAAAUGCUUAGAUAUCACGAAGAACUCCGAUUGCGAAGGCAGCUUACUAAACUGCCACUGACAUUGAUGCUCGAAAGUGUGGGUAUCAAACAGGAUUAGAUACCCCAGUAGUC